rnacentral:rRNA from 1 species
UACGUAGGGUGCGAGCGUUAAUCGGAAUUACUGGGCGUAAAGCGUGCGCAGGCGGUAAUGUAAGACAGAUGUGAAAUCCCCGGGCUUAACCUGGGACCUGCAUUUGUGACUGCAUUGCUGGAGUGCGGCAGAGGGGGAUGGAAUUCCGCGUGUAGCAGUGAAAUGCGUAGAUAUGCGGAGGAACACCGAUGGCGAAGGCAAUCCCCUGGGCCUGCACUGACGCUCAUGCACGAAAGCGUGGGGAGCGAACAGG